CUAUUUCUGCUUGUAGAAUUAUAAUGAUGUGAGCUACUAGCUGUUUUUAACCUUAUGGAGCACUCAUAUAUGGGCCAGUGCAACCGACAUCCUAAGUAGAGUAUUUGUGGGGUGAUAGACGCCUGAUAAGGAAUCUCAAUCAGCGGCACUUAAAAAAUCUAAAGUUUAAAUGAGUCACAUUGUUCUUUAUUUCCUCUUGAAGUGAAAAAUUGUAAGUGAAGACAUUCUCAUCUUUCUUGAGAAGGGCCUCAGUUUCUCCACAUGGUAAAAUGAACUCAACAAUACCCAUCUAUUUGACUAAGAGGUGAAGCAAGGUUGUAUGAGAUGAGAGUUCAUCAAGUACUUUGAGAUCCUGGACUGAAAUGCAUCAAAAGCUCUAAAGUGCAAUUAACACUUUGCUUCUCCUUUCCCUUUUUUUGGCAUAAAGUUUUUGAAAAAUUUACCUUAAAAUGUUCUAUUAAAUUGAUUUUCAGGAUCAUGAAUGCCGGGAGAUUGACAGCCCUGGGAAGAGAAGCAUCUUUCAAGCACACAUUUUGCCAGGAGAGACAAUGAGUUGAGAUGGCACUGCCACCUUAGGAGGCUUCUCCUGACGUGAUGAGCCCAGCACUCAGCAUGGGAGGAAGACAAUCCUGUGUCUGGUGCAGCUCUUGCGCUUAUUCACCAUUUACUCCAAGUUCCUGUGACUCCAGAGCAUGUCUUUGAGAAUGUGAAUUGAAGUACCACUAACUUGUGCCGCCUGGCUCACUGAAUGUGGGCAUGGGUUGUGGUGAGAGAAGCAGACGAAGAAAAGAUGCAUCCUUGGAAGAACCUGCUGCUGCCUUUCACUCCUGCUUGUUCUGACUGGUCCUUGGGAACAGCAAUUUGAGGCACUGGAUCUCGGGAUGUACCUUCCAUCCUCAGCAGUCAACAUGGAAAACUGACCUCAUGUGGCUGCCGCACUUGUUUCUUUUAUGCUGAAUACAAAGCCUUUGCAAGAACCCCAAGGGACAUCAGAUAAAAAAGCAAGUAUGUGGGGCUGAUUUGGGAAAUUGGUGCUGUGAGCUCCUCAGAAUCACAAA
rnacentral:lncRNA from 1 species